AUGCUGAGCCCCAGAGCUCAGCAACUUCUCUUUAGCAGGUUGGGAGCCAGGAAAGGGUGGCACUGGCUGCCCAGGAGCCCCCCUUCACUGCCCCACUGGUGGGCGCACAGUGGUGACCGUCUGGAAGGCCAGUUCCACCCAGAUAGUCACCAGACAUUCCCCCCUGGCCUCGAGAGGCCUCAGGAGUGCAGACACGAGACACUUGUGUCCCACAGCCUGCAUCUCUCAGUCUUGGCACACAUUAGCUGCCCACACAGGCCCUCUGACCACUUUGCCGGGCUGGCCUCAGGAUCCUUCUCUUCUCAGUGGUCUAGGCAAGUCUUUUCUGUUAUUAGCAGGACUUGCAGUUCUCAGUCCCAGAGCCCCAGGCCUCACUGUCCACUGUCCCUCUGCCACAGACUUGUGGGAUCCCGGGUCAGCCUUGCCCCUCCGGAGGAGGAUGGACAAGAGGGUCUCUCAGGCCCCUUCUGGCCCAGGGGUCAGCUUUGGCUCCUCUUUGAUCCUUGUCCUGUUGGUCAGUGGGUGAGGAUGGGCAGAAAAGGCCAUCAUGCCCCUCUGGCCCACCUGGACAAUGAAUUUCCCCAGCUGCCCCUGGGGUACAGUACUGCUGCAUCCCUUGUGCAUGGCGCUGCCCUGCUGUUACUGGCAGUUGUCACGCAGACACUGUUGGGCUGGUAUCUGUGGUUGCCCCCACCGCCCCUCUCUCUGGUCUCCACAGGAAAGGGCCUGGAGAACAAGAAACUCUGCGUGCCUGCCUCUCAGGACCUUUGUGGUGGCCUCCUUGACUCUUUGGAGGACAUCGGAGGCCCUCCGGAGUCUGGCAAGCUCCUCAUCGACACCUCUCCAUCCUGCACAUCCAGGACAGGCAGGCACAACCCAGGCAUGCCCUCCCUAGUGCCCACUCUCUCUCUGCCCUCAGGUUGCUCUUCUAUGGGGGCUUUAACUACCCGCACCUGCCCCUGGCUGGGUGCCCACUCCUCCCCACCCAUCCCAUCCCACAAGCAGGUGGGCACAUCUGGGCAUAUCCUGCCUGCUUCUCAUAAAUGGCGAGCAUUUUGCCAACAGCUGUUCUGGUCAGUGCCCCGAACAGUACCCCAUACGGUGCUGGGCACACUGUGGGUGCCCGCUGCAUAUUCACUGGCUGGCAGCAAUUGCUAA
rnacentral:lncRNA from 1 species